GAUGAACGCUAGCUACAGGCUUAACACAUGCAAGUCGAGGGGCAUCAGGAAGAAAGCUUGCUUUCUUUGCUGGCGACCGGCGCACGGGUGAGUAACACGUAUCCAACCUGCCCUUUACUCGGGGAUAGCCUUUCGAAAGAAAGAUUAAUACCCGAUGGCAUAAUGAUUCCGCAUGGUUUCAUUAUUAAAGGAUUCCGGUAAAGGAUGGGGAUGCGUUCCAUUAGGUUGUUGGUGAGGUAACGGCUCACCAAGCCUUCGAUGGAUAGGGGUUCUGAGAGGAAGGUCCCCCACAUUGGAACUGAGACACGGUCCAAACUCCUACGGGAGGCAGCAGUGAGGAAUAUUGGUCAAUGGGCGCUAGCCUGAACCAGCCAAGUAGCGUGAAGGAUGAAGGCUCUAUGGGUCGUAAACUUCUUUUAUAUAAGAAUAAAGUGCAGUAUGUAUACUGUUUUGUAUGUAUUAUAUGAAUAAGGAUCGGCUAACUCCGUGCCAGCAGCCGCGGUAAUACGGAGGAUCCGAGCGUUAUCCGGAUUUAUUGGGUUUAAAGGGAGCGUAGGUGGACUGGUAAGUCAGUUGUGAAAGUUUGCGGCUCAACCGUAAAAUUGCAGUUGAUACUGUCAGUCUUGAGUACAGUAGAGGUGGGCGGAAUUCGUGGUGUAGCGGUGAAAUGCUUAGAUAUCACGAAGAACUCCGAUUGCGAAGGCAGCUCACUGGACUGCGACUGACACUGAUGCUCGAAAGUGUGGGUAUCAAACAGG
rnacentral:rRNA from 1 species